CAUCUCUAAGGUUUGAUAAAGAAUCAUUUCAACCACCAAAAAAAGUAGCUUGAUUUUGAUCUUAAUUUUCAAUCUCAUCAUCAUUGCUAAGGCUUGAUGAAGAAUCAUUUGAAUCAACAUCAGAAGAAGCUUGAUCUUGAUUUCUCCUCCUACUCCUGUUAAUAGAAAAACUAACCCAAACUUCACCGUUACCACCACCACCACCAACCCUUCUUCUCUCACCACCUUCUUCUUCCUCCCUUUUCUUCCCAUCAUCUUUCUCAUCAACAGGCAUGUGAUACCUACAAACAGGACAAGACCCAUGAAUCCCCAACCACUUCUCAAUACACUUUCCAUGAAACCUAUGCUUACAAGGCAUCUCCUUCACAACCCCACCAACCUCAAACUCCUCCAAACAAACAACACACUCUCCUCCAUCACCUUCUUCAAUCUCAAUCUUCUCCAUAGCUUCUAUAGACUCCUUUGUUGCCGGUGGUUGACCAGUCUUUGUGGCACUCCCAAGGUUGUUGAAAAGCUCUUCAAGGCUUGAAGCUCCAUCGAUCACAACCAUACCCUGUGUGAAUGUGUUCACCAAGAUGAUUCUGUCAGUGGUGGAAUCUUCCGUGGCAUGGGAAUCGGAACUAUGAUCUGGGUCUGUGUUGUUUGAAGAUGAAUGUGAAAGGCUUAACAUUCUGAUCAUUCUUUCGAACAGAGAAGAAAUUUCUGCUUCUAAAGCCAUCGGAAAAACGAAAAAAGAAAAAAGUGAUUGGAGAGAAAGUAGAAGCGUUGGAAUGAAGAGAAAAAAGUUGAAGUAAAAGGUAUAAAUAUAAGAGAAGAAAACCUAGGAGAAAGAAGGUUGUCGAAGGAUCUGGAACAUGGUAUUAGGUGCAUGUGAGAUUGUGGUGUCAUUUAUUUCCUAAUCACCCGUUCGUAAUAUCACAACAAGAUAUUUUAAUGUGAUGAUCGUUAUCAUGGAUUGGAUAAUAUCGUUCUUUUUUUGGUACAAUAGGAUAAUAUUAUUCUUUUUUUGUACAAUGGAUAAUUUUUUUCGUUCUAUAUUUCUUACCCUCUUCAUUCUUAUUGACUUUUUAGUUAAUUGAAUAAG
rnacentral:lncRNA from 1 species